rnacentral:rRNA from 1 species
AUCUAUGACCAUGCCACCCUGAACAAGCUCGAUCCCGUCUGAUCUCGGAAGCUAAGCAGGAUCAGGCCUGGUUAGUACUCGGAUGGGAGACCACCUAGGAAGACCAGGUGUUGUAGGCA